CUCUCUCUUCUUCUUCUUCCUCUUCUCA
rnacentral:sRNA from 1 species